rnacentral:rRNA from 1 species
AUCCAAUUUGGACCUGAUAUCAGACAAGACUACCCG